UCAGCGCCAGAUUUGCGUCCCAUCACCAAUCCGCGCUGAGCAGCGGGGCGGAACCAAAGGAAAGGACCAAGCUCGGUUGAGGCGCGGCCCAGCCGCAGCCGCAGCCGCAGCCGCAGCUGCCGUUCUAUCUUGGUGAUAGCCGAGCGGCUGGAUAGGAAGCAAUUGUUCUCAAACUUCACUAGCCCCGUCGGCGCGGACGCUUGUCGAGAAUGCAGAUUCCUGGGUACUGCCAGAUACGGUUGGUGAUCUUGUAGGGCUGGAGUGGAACCCAUGAAUCUGCAUUUUCAUCAUUUCUGGCCCUCUGCCCGGACUGGGGUGAUUCACGGGGAUUCGUAGUGGCCCCAAAGGAGCACGAAGAACCUCGGCUGCUGUGCAUUUGCCACCUCUUUUGUUCCCGGAGGCCGCACCCCAGGUCCAGUUUACACAGCUGCCAACUCCUUUUCUUGGUUCCCACUGGAAUCUGGGAAGAAAACUCGCCCUUUGCUUCUCCGCCCCACACCCGACGACGGAGUGUCUAGGGGUCUGGUCGGCCUUGGCUGUGCGGAGGGCUAGGCCUGACGAGCGUGCGCUGAUGCGGCGCAGACCCCGCCAGACCUCUUGGGUGGCCCGGGGUAGGUUGGGGAGCAGCGGAACAGGACUGGAUAGGGAAAGCGGCCCCGCAGCGUCCACGGGCAAGCUGAAAGUCUGCUUGAUGUCUUUGCAUCACAGUGGCGCCCUCCCCGCAGGAACGCCCGGCCGCCUACACCGAGCGUUGCCUGCAGGGAACGGCCAACCCGCCCUGAAAUACUUUUUUUGUGGGCUGCAGCUUUCGGGUAUUUUAAGCCAUGGUUCUGUGCCCUUCCUUGUUUUCAAAAACACCACAGCCAAAGGCUGCGGGUUGUGUGCUUUGGUUUUGUGUUAAGUUCUGUGGUGGAGACCUGGAGUCUGUUUUUCCAAAUAGGCACCUUGAAAUAGAUACGCUUCUUAAGGAGGGAAAGUACGAGUGGGUCCUAUUAUUUGCGAUGUUUUAGCCUUUCCAGACUCCGUACAAAUGACUAAAUGAAGAUUGGAUCGUAUUUUCAGAAUUGAGCACACCACAAAAAAGUUCUCAUUUUGUGUACUCCCAUCCCAUACUCCUCACUAACCAAAAGUGCUUUCUAAUAUAAAGUGGUACAUUGUGGAUAUUCAACCCAUCUAAUUGCCCACUAACAUCUACUUUAAGCUUAUCUUUUACGCAAUAAAUUCCUUAACAUUUGCUGCACAAAAAGCUAUUACUACUGAACUAUUUCACAAACCCAUUUUGAAAGUCAAAAACUGAGCACUGAGUCUUUCUCUUUGCAAUCCAGCUACACCAACCCUAAUCUUCUCUGAGGUGAUGCACAGCUGUCACCCGGGAGAAAUGGAACGCCAGGAAAUGCACAAAGGAAAGGCAUCCUGACGAAUGUUUUCAGCCUUAUGCGCCACACCACUAAAGAACAUUGCCACCUGCUGUAGGAUAUGAAGCUUCUGAAGCACAUGAGAAGUAAGAGGAAGCAACGGUCAUGCCCCCAAAGGUCUCGCUUUGGGGACACGUUCUGAAGAAUCCCGGACUGCAUUCCAGAUGCACCCCAUGGAAACAUGGGACUUUGGUCCUUUUCCAACACCAGGUCACAAGGAGAAAGCUCAUUUUGCAGCUACUCACAGUUACAAGCAGGGCCAUCAUGCUUAACAUUUUUCUGUUGACUCAGAUCUCAGUGACUUGUAGAAGGAUAAAUUAUCUAAGUAUGAAUUUCCUCUUAAUUCUGAAUAGAAUCUUAUAAUAGCCUCUAUCCUGUUAUGACUUUCCCAGUAGUCUUAUGAAUUCAGUAGGGAAUAAACCAGCUGUUUCCAUUUCAUGGGGGGGGCAACAAUCUUGGACUUUUUCUUUUUUUCAACCAAUGUUUAUUGAACCCUUAUUGUGAACCAGGAGCUGUAUUAGGCUCUGAGAAUACACAGUUAGCCUGGACCUACAUGAUGCUUAUACUAGGGAAGAAGAUACAUAAACAGAUACUUUUAUUAUAAAAUGGUAGAAAUAAUUACUAGGUGUCAAAGGUUCAGAGUUGAAGGGUAUAACUCAGCUUUCCUGGAGGAGCUGAGACUUGAGCUAAGACUUGAAGGAUGGGCCAGAUGCCAAGUGGGGAGAAGAGCUCUGUCGGUCUGUUCAUUUUGGUAUCCCUACCACCCCACCACAUGGUCUAGUACAUGGCAGACAUUUAAUACAGUGAAUGUGCAAAAGAAAUCUCGGCAGAGGAAAUGUUAUAAGCACAAACAAGGCAUGGGAAACUAGAAAUAGUUUGGAUUUACCAGAAGAUUAAUCCUUAUAGGAUCAUAGAUUUCUCUGAAAAACUAAUAGAAGCUAUGGUCCUUCUUCCUAGCAAAAUUAACGUACACUCAACGUUUAACAGGUAAUUUUAGGGGGAUACAGAUAUGCCUGAAACUUGUACACACUGAGAAAUCUCUGUUAUAGGGAAUUGGGGACAUUGAGGUUUUUAAAAACAUCUUUAUUUUAUUUAUUAUAAAGUAGGGGAAUGACAUAACUUAGAGUUACUUUGGAUGCAUUGUGAGGGAUGGGCUUAAGGAAGAUAAGACUAGAUGUGGCAGUUCACUUAAGAGGUUGCUGAAAUAAUUCUGGGUGAGUUAGCCAGAACUAGGAGUGAAGACAUGGGCAUGGAGAAGAGUAGUGGGGUGAAGAAUACUUUAAUCGGUAAAACUGGCCUUGCUGGUGUUUGGUUGGAUUUGAGAGCAAGGAAUGAGAAAGAGCUAAGGUUGACUUUCAGGUUUUUUGAAGAACAGGGCGGAUGGUGGUGCUAGUAAUUGAGAUAGGAAACACAGGAAAAGAGGUUUGGGUCAGGAAUGGGCUGAUGGAGAGUCUGGGAAUGGGAGAAAUGAGGAGUUUGGGUUUGGCCAUGUUGAGAUCACUUGAGGCGACCAGGUAAUGACAGAUACGAGCGAAGUGGAAGGAUAAUGGGGAGAUGCUGUAAACUGUAAGGAGCAAAGGAUUAUGGGAGAGGGGAGUGGGAGUCCAGCAUAUGUUUCACUUAAUUGGGCAGUGAGGAGGACUGAUGGCCACUGAGUCUGAGGAAUGUGGGGAGUAAGAUCAUAAGGCAGCUCCUCAAACAAGGGUUGGCAGAGGGCCAGUGUCUUCAGGAGCUAUGUUAAUUUCCCAGGGCUGCCACAACCAAGCACCACAAACUGGGUGACUUAAAAAAAGUGGAAUUUAUUGUCUCACAGUUCUUGGGGCUAGAAGUCAGAAAUCAGGGUGAGGCAGGAGAAGAAGGUCUGAAGGCAGGGAACCUAAGGCCAUUUCAUGCAGACUUCCUAGAACUAAAUUGAAAGGAAAACC